rnacentral:lncRNA from 1 species
AUGGAUCCUUCUGUAGAACACCAGCGCCAGCGCCCCCACCACCACCAGCACCAGCACCCCCACCACCAGCAGGACGUCCCGGACCGGUGGACACCAGUCGUCACUCAGACACCAACCUGUGGAGUCAAACCAGGACGUUUGAUCACUCUUUGCACCUCACCAAUCACGUCACCAUGGUUACAAACUCUCCUGAUCAGUGUGCAUCCAUCAAUCAUCAAAGCUGUCAGCAGACCGUAUCAUAGCAACCAGUCUGGACUCACGGUGUUCGGCCGAAGGCGUCGUCCUCUCGUGACCAGAACAGUUGACUAGAAGACACAAAAAGGUUCUUUUGAUCAUCUGAACACGGUUAGAACCUGAACACAACUGCAGUGCAUUGUGGGAGAGACCCUGUGGUUGGUGCUCACCGUGGCAGCUGGCCUCCUGAGGGUUCUGCAAACAAACAAACAAACAAACAAACAAAGGUGUUGGUUUCAGGAGAGAAGGUGCUGCAGCUCUGACUCUCGGCUGCUCGCUCCACUCACCGCUCCGUCAAGUUUGUAGGUCACAUUUUCCUGGCAGAGCUUCAAGGUCACGGAGUCAUUCGUGAGGUUCAGCACGUCAGCAGUCUUGUCUCCAUCAUCAGCAAAGGUGAUCUGGACGGAAACAGGUCAGAACAUUUUCAUCAGCACUAAAUCUUUACGGCUGAGCCAAGAGAUCCUCACGUCAGGCUUCCAUCAAGUCCUGGAAGUUUUGGGAACUUCCACAAUGCCCCCUGUGACGUCACCACAGCGAAGAACAUUCUCGGCCCUUACGGUGACGUCACCACCACGGCGAAGAACAUUCUUGGCCCUUACGGUGACGUCACCACCACAGUGAAGACCAUUCUCGGAACUUACGGAGUUUUUGGCCCAUCUGAAAGACGUGUUUUCGGUGACCGUCGGUGCCGGGACCAGCUGAUAGGUGAAGGAGCCGUCAGGGUUCUUGGUAACGUUACAGGUCAGCUGUUGUGGAGGGUCGGGGGCCGCAGAACCAGCUGAAUGUUCGACCGAGGCUGGAAAAAGUUCAGAAAUCCGAGCACAUUAUUAAAUACCUGCGGGAAAGAUCAUCAUCACGAACUUUCCCCCCGAAUCUGAAUGAAAAAUGGGACCGAAUCUUACCGUAAAAAAUGAUAAUGAAGCACAGAGACGUGAAGCACAUGUUUCUCAUGGUUCCUUCUUUAAUUCCGGAUAGUGACGAGUCAACAAGGUUUGGAGCUUGUUAGCUCCUCCUGAAGCGCAGUGAUUUGGUAGCGCCGCGUGUCGGAGCU